rnacentral:rRNA from 1 species
UACGUAGGGUGCAAGCGUUGUCCGGAAUUAUUGGGCGUAAAGAGCUCGUAGGCGGUCUGUCGCGUCGGCUGUGAAAACCCGGAGCUCAACUCCGGGCCUGCAGUCGAUACGGGCAAACUGGAGUGUUGCAGGGGAGACUGGAAUUCCUGGUGUAGAGGUGAAAUGCGCAGAUAUCAGGAGGAACACCGGUGGCGAAGGCGGGUCUCUGGGCAACAACUGACGCUGAGGAGCGAAAGCGUGGGGAGCGAACAGG